rnacentral:rRNA from 1 species
CCUACGGGGGGCAGCAGUGAGGAAUAUUGGUCAAUGGGCGAGAGCCUGAACCAGCCAAGUCGCGUGAGGGAGGACGGCCCUACGGGUUGUAAACCUCUUUUGCCGGGGGACAAACGGCGGCACGCGUGCCGUCCUGAGGGUACCCGGAGAAAAAGCAUCGGCUAACUCCGUGCCAGCAGCCGCGGUAAUACGGAGGAUGCGAGCGUUAUCCGGAUUUAUUGGGUUUAAAGGGUGCGUAGGUUGUUUUAUAAGUUAGCGGUGAAAUACCGAUGCUCAACAUCGGGGCUGCCGCUGAUACUGUAGGACUAGAGAGCGGAUGCAGCAGGCGGAAUGUGUAGUGUAGCGGUGAAAUGCAUAGAUAUUACACAGAACACCGAUUGCGAAGGCAGCUUGCUAGGCCGGAUCUGACACUGAUGCACGAAAGCGUGGGGAUCGAACAGGAUUAGAUACCCGAGUAGUC